rnacentral:rRNA from 1 species
CCUACGGGGGCAGCAGUGGGGAAUAUUGGACAAUGGGCGAAAGCCUGAUCCAGCCAUGCCGCGUGUGUGAAGAAGGCCUUCGGGUUGUAAAGCACUUUCAGUGGGGAAGAAAGCCUUGGGGCUAAUACCCUCGAGGAAGGACAUCACCCACAGAAGAAGCACCGGCUAACUCCGUGCCAGCAGCCGCGGUAAUACGGAGGGUGCGAGCGUUAAUCGGAAUUACUGGGCGUAAAGCGCGCGUAGGCGGUCUGAUAAGCCGGUUGUGAAAGCCCCGGGCUCAACCUGGGAACGGCAUCCGGAACGGUCAGGCUAGAGUGCAGGAGAGGAAGGUAGAAUUCCCGGUGGAGCGGUGAAAUGCGUAGAGAUCGGGAGGAAUACCAGUGGCGAAGGCGGCCUUCUGGACUGACACUGACGCUGAGGUGCGAAAGCGUGGGUAGCAAACAGGAUUAGAUACCCGUGUAGUC